ACUUUUGGUGGAGGCACCAAACUCAUCGUUGACUUGGGAGUGGUGCAGCCCACGCUGAGCGUCCUCCCUCCCUCCAGAGUGGAGCUGGAGCAGGGCAGUGCUACACUAGUGUGUGUGGCCAGUGGGGGCUUCCCCUCAGACUGGAAGCUUGGCUGGAAGGUGGGGGGCAGCAGCAGGUCUGGGGGGGUGUCAGAUAGCCUGGGGGUCCUGGGGAAAGAUGGCCACUACAGCUGGAGCAGCAGCUUGACCCUCCCUGCAGACCAGUGGAGGAAGGCGGGCUCAGUGAGCUGUGAGGCCAGUAAGAAUGGCCAGACGCAGCCUGUCACUCAAACCCUGAAUCCUGGAGAGUGUUCAGAGUAGAGAGGCUCCAGCAUGGAGGUACUGGAGGAUACAGAUCUCCUCUGACACGUCUGCUUUCUGUCUCUCUGUCCAAGGUGGCACUGUAGCUAUGAUAAAUUACAUUAAUAUAACAUGUCUUCAAAUCAAUAACAUGAAGCUCUCUGGAUUUUACCCCUUGCUUGUGUUGGUCACAUGUUGAACAUUUAAUAAAGAUGUAAAGAAUAAA